rnacentral:rRNA from 1 species
CCUACGGGUGGCUGCAGUGGGGAAUAUUGGACAAUGGGCGAAAGCCUGAUCCAGCCAUGCCGCGUGUGUGAAGAAGGCCUUCGGGUUGUAAAGCACUUUCAGUGGGGAAGAAAGCCUUGGGGCUAAUACCCUCGAGGAAGGACAUCACCCACAGAAGAAGCACCGGCUAACUCCGUGCCAGCAGCCGCGGUAAUACGGAGGGUGCGAGCGUUAAUCGGAAUUACUGGGCGUAAAGCGCGCGUAGGCGGUCUGAUAAGCCGGUUGUGAAAGCCCCGGGCUCAACCUGGGAACGGCAUCCGGAACGGUCAGGCAAGAGUGCAGGAGAGGAAGGUAGAAUUCCCGGUGUAGCGGUGAAAUGCGUAGAGAUCGGGAGGAAUACCAGUGGCGAAGGCGGCCUUCUGGACUGACACUGACGCUGAGGUGCGAAAGCGUGGGUAGCAAACAGGAUUAGAUACCCUAGUAGUC